rnacentral:rRNA from 1 species
GGCGAACGCUGGCGGCGUGCUUAACACAUGCAAGUCGAACGAUGAAGCUGGAGCUUGCUCCGGUGGAUUAGUGGCGAACGGGUGAGUAACACGUGAGCAAUCUGCCCUUGACUCUGGGAUAACUGCGGGAAACUGUAGCUAAUACUGGAUACUUUCACUGGAAGGCAUCUUCUGGUGAAGAAAGAAUUUCGGUCAAGGAUGAGCUCGCGGCCUAUCAGCUUGUUGGUGAGGUAACGGCUCACCAAGGCGACGACGGGUAGCCGGCCUGAGAGGGUGACCGGCCACACUGGGACUGAGACACGGCCCAGACUCCUACGGGAGGCAGCAGUGGGGAAUAUUGCACAAUGGGCGCAAGCCUGAUGCAGCAACGCCGCGUGAGGGAUGAAGGCCUUCGGGUUGUAAACCUCUUUUAGCAGGGAAGAAGCGAAAGUGACGGUACCUGCAGAAAAAGCACCGGCUAACUACGUGCCAGCCGCCGCAGUAA